GUCCGCGUAGCUCAGUCUGGCCAGAGCAUCGCUCUUCUAAAGCGAGGGUCGUGGGUUCAAAUCCCAUCGUGGAUA
rnacentral:tRNA from 1 species